CCUCUUCUCUCUGAGGCAAAUAUCACAAUCAUCCUAAAUCACUCCUAAUUAUAUGUUUAGUGUUGGCUAUGUACAGCCAGUCUUCUACAGAGAUGGCACAGAAUUACUAACCAGAGCAAUCCGCUACUGUGCUGGAAAAGUUGGUGUUUUAAUUCCAUCUGAGAUAAGAACUUGGAACUCCUGCUAUCAUUGGCCACCCUAUUUACCUGGAACUGUUUUAAAAUGCACUUAACAGGGUUUGCUGCCCAUAAACAGUGACUUGUCAAAUCA